rnacentral:rRNA from 1 species
GACGAACGCUGGCGGCGUGCUUAAUACAUGCAAGUCGAACGGAAAGGCCCUGCUUUUGUGGGGUGCUCGAGUGGCGAAGGGGUGUGUAACACGUGAGUAACCUGCCCCUGACUUUGUGAUAACUCCAGGAAACUGGGGAUCAUACCGGAUAGGAGCUCCUGCUGCAUGGUGGGGGUUGGAAAGUUUCGGCGGUUGGGGAUGGACUCGCGGCUUAUCAGCUUGUUGGUGGGGUAGUGGCUUACCAAGGCUUUGACGGGUAGCCGGCCUGAGAGGGUGACCGGCCACAUUGGGACUGAGAGACGGACCAGACUCCUACGGGAGGCAGCAGUGGGGAAUAUUGCGCAAUGGGCGGAAGCCAGAUGCAGCAACGCCGCGUGCGUGAUGACGGCCUUCGGGUUGUAAACCGCUUUCGCCUGUAACGAAGCGUGAGUGACGGUAAUGGGUAAAGAAGCAACGGCUAACUACGUG